GACGAACGCUGGCGGCGUGCUUAACACAUGCAAGUCGAACGAAGCGGAGAAGGGGUGAGUAAUACGUGGGUAACCUGCUCUCCUUUUUGGGAUAAGCCUUGGAAACGGGGUAUAAUACCGAAUAAUGGGGGAUGGGCUUGCGGCCUUUCAGCUUGUUGGUGUGGUGAUAGCCUACCAAGGCGGUGACGGGUGGCGGGCCUGAGUGGGUGACCGGCCACGAUGGGACUGCGAUACGGCCCAGAGUGGUACGAGAGGCGGCAGUGGGGGAUAUUGCGCAAUGGGCGAAAGCCUAAUGCGGCGACGCCGCGUGGGGGAUGAAGGCUUUCGGGUUGUAAACCUCUUACGCUAUCGAACGGGUAGGUGAAGAAGAAGCGCCGGCUAACUACGUGCCAGCAGCCGCGGUAAUAC
rnacentral:rRNA from 1 species